CAGCACCUCAAGUGGUCAGGAUGAUUAUUGGGCCUAAAGCAUCCGUAGCCGGCGCUGUAAGUUUUCGGUUAAAUCCAUACGCUCAACGUAUGGGCUGCCGGGAAUACUGCAAAGCUAGGGAGUGGGAGAGGUAGACGGUACUCGGUAGGAAGGGGUAAAAUCCUUUGAUCUAUUGAUGACCACCUGUGGCGAAGGCGGUCUACCAGAGCACGUCCGACGGUGAGGGAUGAAAGCUGGGGGAGCAAACCGGAUUAGAUACCCGUGUAGUCC
rnacentral:rRNA from 1 species